ACGUAGGUGGCAAGCGUUGUCCGGAAUUAUUGGGCGUAAAGCGUGCGUAGGUGGUUCGUUAAGUCCGAUGUGAAAGCCCUGGGCUCAACCUGGGAAUGGCAUUGGAUACUGGCGGGCUAGAGUGCGGUAGAGGGCAGUGGAAUUCCCGGUGUAGCAGUGAAAUGCGUAGAGAUCGGGAGGAACAUCUGUGGCGAAGGCGACUGCCUGGACCAGCACUGACACCGAGGCACGAAAGCGUGGGGAGCAAACAGGA
rnacentral:rRNA from 1 species